UAACGCUGUCGUUAAUGAUCUCUCUCGUGUUUUUAGGAUUCCUGGAUCAGAGUUUGUUCUCUGAGAGGAGUUCAGUCCGGAUGACAUUUAUCUGGAGGGAAGGAGAAUGAGACAAUCACAGCGUCGAACCCUUUUAUUGUGACGGCUAAAUCUGAACCGCUGCGGUCGAUGGAGCUCCUAACAGCUGGAGUCGAAGGGCCAGAUGUGCAGAAACAACUCUGAGUCGAAGAGUCAUCAGCAGUCCCUCUGGGUCUCUGAGCGGCCGAGCAGCGGGGAUAUCAAUCGUGGGAAGCGUCUGCAGCUGAUCCUGAUUCAGUGAAAUGACCUCAGAGUUUAAACACUCGAAGCCCUAACCUUCAGAGAGGAGCGGAAACAUGCUGAAAUUCAGAUAAUGAAUGUAGCUGAAGUGAGAUGCAUCGUGACAUGACCGGUGGGGUUUUGGGCGUUUUGGAGCUAAACCUUUUAAGAUGCUCAAUGUGACGACGCCCAACAUCACGAGGGGGCUCGCAGUGGGAGGGGCCUCCUGCCACGCCUGCUGGGAACUGAGGCCAACAAAGAUGGCGUGUUACACGUUCACACGUGCACUCUCACACACACACACACACACAGCUGUAUUCAUAAAACUACAUGGUUUUACGCAGAGAUCUUUUAUUUGUUGUGAAAUUUCAGACCUGCAGAGGAGCUCAGCAGUGCUGAUUCUGCCUGCCUGCCGUUUAGACGAGGAAGCAACAAGCUCAUUCCCAGCCAACGCCUUCCGCGACGCAGGGAAUCCGCUCGCUGCUGUGAAGGCAAACGUAAAGAUGGAUUCUGUAGAGCGGCACAAACAGAUGAAACACACACUCUCAUUUAUGGAACAUUAUUUAUUGGUAAGAAAGAGCGUCUAUUCCUCAAAAUGUACGAUCAGCUUUCACAGUGAACCAUGGAGUUGAUGUUAUCAGUAAUUUUCAAGAAAGUGUUAGCCAAGAUUAAAAAUCUUAAGCCUCUUUAGCUGGUUGAAUUUAAUCCAUCUGUCACUGCUAUUCACUAACAUUUAUUUGUAUUCCCAAUGUUGAUGAUGACCCAGCGACAUUCAUAGAUGUAUUUCAUGCGCGGUGCUAAUAUAUUUUAAUUACUGUGUGCAUGGAAAGUUUUGAUCACUGUAAUAUUUUAUAUUUUGUAAUGUAGCCUACGAUUUAUGUUGUGUAUAGUUUUUAUAUGGUGCAACUACUUUUGAUGAUCAAUACAGUCUUUUUCUUCAAUUCACAAUAAGCUGCUAGUGGCAAAGGGCUUACUGUAUUCAAUUCAAUUCAAUUUUAUUUAUACAGCGCCAAUUCAUAACAGGAGUUAUCUCAUUGCACUUUUC